GAAAUUGCUCAAUAUAAUAAACAUGAGAAUAAGAAGGCUGAAUUUAUUGAAAGGAGCAGAGAGGCAAUGAAAAAAUUAAGGUUAAAAACUCUUGAAGAAAAGACGCUAACCUUCUGUGUUAGAUAACUUCAUUCUACGCUGAGCUCUCGUGCAGGCACUGCUUGUAUUCCUUGUAGCCCUCCCUGCUUCAUGAGAUGCUUGGCCCAGUGGUCCCCCAGGACACAGUAUUGAUUGGUUUGCCUCUAAAGGCAACUCUCAGAAAGCAAAAUCAUAGACGUGGAUUUUCUUAGAAGCCAUUAAUGAAACUUAGGUUUUUACCCUUCAUACCAAAAUAAGCAAAG